AGUCGAACGGAAAGGCCCUGCUUGCAGGGUACUCGAGUGGCGAACGGGUGAGUAACACGUGGGUGAUCUGCCCUGCACUUCGGGAUAAGCCUGGGAAACUGGGUCUAAUACCGGAUAGGAGCCAUUUUUAGUGUGAUGGUUGGAAAGUUUUUUCGGUGUGGGAUGAGCUCGCGGCCUAUCAGCUUGUUGGUGGGGUAAUGGCCUACCAAGGCGGCGACGGGUAGCCGGCCUGAGAGGGUGGACGGCCACAUUGGGACUGAGAUACGGCCCAGACUCCUACGGGAGGCAGCAGUGGGGAAUAUUGCACAAUGGGCGCAAGCCUGAUGCAGCGACGCCGCGUGGGGGAUGACGGCCUUCGGGUUGUAAACUCCUUUCGCUAGGGACGAAGCUUUUUGUGACGGUACCUAGAUAAGAAGCACCGGCUAACUACGUGCCAGCAGCCGCGGUAAUACGUAGGGUGCGAGCGUUGUCCGGAAUUACUGGGCGUAAAGGGCUCGUAGGUGGUUUGUCGCGUCGUCUGUGAAAUUCCGGGGCUUAACUCCGGGCGUGCAGGCGAUACGGGCAUAACUUGAGUACCGUAGGGGUAACUGGAAUUCCUGGUGUAGCGGUGAAAUACGCAGAUAUCAGGAGGAACACCGAUGGCGAAGGCAGGUUACUGGGCAGUUACUGACGCUGAGGAGCGAAAGC
rnacentral:rRNA from 1 species